UGCUUAUUUAGGAGGAGUGAGUUACUUUUAACCUAUCACAGGCCAAAUUGCCUUUAUGGGCCCAGUCCUGCAGACACAGGUUUCAACUUUCCUGGACCACUGUGGCCUUGGGGAGGGGGGAACCAGAGAUAAGGGCAUGAGGCCAUUUUAGGAGCCAAGAGGUACCAGGAGAAGGCAGCCUGUGAGGCGGCGUCACAGCAUACUUUAACACGAUCAAUUCCCUAACAGGGUGGGUGUUAGAGACUCCCAGGAGGAAUCCUGCCUUCAAGGGACACUGAGCAAGGGGCAACCUCCAGGCCGCAUUCUGCUGUCCCUUCUGCUGCGAAGCUUAAAGCCCACCGCGCUGCAUUUGAUUUGCUUUCCCGUUCCCUCAUCACACCACUGCAGAGCUGUUACUUCGUGCCGGAGUCGCGACUGAGCUCUCCACACAGCCUCACACCGACUCCCAGCCCGGCACCGACAGACCAAACCGACACAGUUUUCAGAAGCCUCCCUUGGCGGCCUAGCAUUUCUGCUCAGGUCUGCCGGGCCGGCUGCGUACAGAGGCCCCAGUGCGCUGAUGGCCCAGAGGCCCCAGAGGCUGCAGCGGUCCCUCCUCCUGGGCAGGCCCCGGGGCUGCUCCUGGGCCUCCUGGGCCUCCUGGGCCUGGCUGGGGAAGGGCUGGGGCAGAGGAGAGACAGACAGGACGGCAGCUCUGCAGCCCAGCUGUGUGUGUGAAGGUGGGAGCCAGCGCUGGCCCCAGGGA
rnacentral:lncRNA from 1 species